UUUUUUUUCUCAAAAAUAAUUUUUUGUGACCCCUUUAUUUUCUCUCUCUCUCUCUCUGCGCUCGAUUAGGGUUAGGGUGUUUUUUUUUUUGAAGAAUCUGCGAAUCAUGGACCUGACGAAGAAGCGGAAGCUCGACGAGAACGGCGGUGGAUUGCUCACCGAAGGCGUCACUGGUACGAUUCGAUUGACGCCGCAUGACGCGAGGAAGAUCAUCGAGCGGUUCUCGACUGAUCAGCUGCUCGAUAUCUUGCAGCAGGCUGUCGUUCGCCAUCCAGAUGUUCUGGAAGCUGUCCGAUCGACCGCUGACUCCGACAUCUCUCAGCGGAAGCUGUUCAUCCGUGGCCUCGCGGCGGAGACCACGACGGAGGGUCUUCGUUCGCUUUUCUCCACUUACGGGGAUCUUGAAGAGGCCAUCGUGAUUCUUGACAAGGUCACGGGGAAAUCUAAAGGGUAUGGUUUUGUCACCUUCCGGCAUGUGGAUGGAGCUUUGCUCGCUCUGAAGGAGCCAUCGAAGAAGAUCGAUGGUCGCGUGACAGUCACGCAGCUUGCGGCUUCAGGGAAUCAAGGUACGAGUACUAAUGUUUCCGACAUAUCGAUGAGGAAGAUCUAUGUGGCGAACGUACCGUUUGACAUGCCUGCGGAUAGGCUGUUGAAUCACUUCCUGGCUUAUGGGGAUAUUGAAGAGGGUCCUUUGGGUUUUGAUAAAUUGACUGGUAAAUCAAGGGGCUUUGCUUUGUUUGUCUACAAGACAGCUGAAGGGGCACACGCGACUCUUGCUGAUCCGGUGAAGGUGAUUGACGGGAAGAAUUUACAUUGUAAAUUGGCUAUUGACGGUAAGAAAGGGAAGCCUGGUCAGGAUGGCAUGGUUCAGGGCGGUACCGGACCUGGACAUGUUCAUGGUGAUGGAAUGGGAAUAGUUCCUCCUCCUGGACCAUAUGGUACAUCCGGUGGUCCUGGUGGAAUGGGUACUUAUGGUGGAUUCUCGGGACCACCUCCGCAUCACAUGAAUUCUGCACCCUCCUCGAUGGGUGUUGGUUCUGCUGGGUCUGGUGGAUACGGGGGUGCAGGGUAUGGUGGACAUUACAGUGGGUAUGGUAGUGGUCCAGGUUCUGGGGGCUAUGGUGGUUUUGGUGGCGCUGGUGCGGGAUCGAUGGGUGGUGCUGGUGGCGCAUACGGUGGGCCUGGUGCUGGUAGUGGACCAUAUAGAAUGCCACCAAGUUCAAUGCCUGGUGGUGGUUAUCCUGAAUCUGGACAUUAUGGCAUGUCAUCAGCAACGACAUUUCCUGGUCAGCAUCAUCAGCCUGUUGGGACCUCCCCAUUGCCUAGAGCUCCGCUUGGGGGAAUGUACCCCAAUGUUCCGCCAAAUUACUGAACGGUUUGUGACAGCUUGUUGGGCGAAGAUGCUUUUUGUGCUUAAUGGUGAUUACCUGAUUGCAGCCUCAUUAGUAUCUGGAUUGAUGAAUAUAUAUGCGCUGUGCUUUGACCUCUCUGGGCUUGAUCUGAAUGUGAUUGGCUUCUGAGUGCCUGGUUGCUUAAAUGACUGAUUUGAGUAGGAUAUCUUUUAUGUACUUUUUAUAGUAGAGAUUCUAGCAGAUGGAUUUUGUUUCUUGAUUAGUGAGUUUAUAAUAAAUAUAUGUUGUAUCCCUCUUCUCUCUUCUUCAAGUGUUUCCUGGUUAAUUUUUCCAUCUUUUUCUGUUCAUGGGCUUGUCUGGGGUUAGCUGGCUUUGGUCUUUGAAGAAUGCUUGGUUGUCAUCAGCAGAAUGUGUUCAACUGCUUUCUCUGACAUAAGUGGGAGUCCAACGUUUGUGGAACUUUUGCUUUGUGAUGAUCUGAUUGGUGAUACUUGCCUUGCGAGUGAUGGUCCGUGGCCAUCUAAGCUAGUUUUGUUGUUUCCGCUAGCCGUCAUUACGCUUAACGACAAGGCCAUGGACGUGUCCUUUUCCGUGUUGUGCGAAGUGAUUGAUUGACUGUGUCUAGAGUGCAUAAAAGGCUAGUUUCCAUUUGAAGAACUCUCUUGACGAGAGCCAUUGGUGUGGUGUCACAGUGGGUGAGUGUUGUUUGGCAGAACGCCGGUUGCUAGUGGUAAUUAGACGUGUUUUUGCGCAUGCUAGCAUUUAUAUGAAGAAAUCUCAUGUCUGAUGAUGAUGAUGAUGAUGAUUUGUUGCCCAAAGUUGGAAAGAUUGCAUGGGGAAAAGAUCAUUUUGAUAUUUCUUUUUAAGGUUGCAAAGUUUUUUUUGUUUUGGUUGGGUGGUUUGGUUUGGUUUGGUGUUAUAGUAAGUAAUAGCCGCUACGUAUCUGGGAUAGUCAAUUGUACCGUUAACGCUAACUCGUGACGCCUGUCGUUUUUUUUCUCGUAAUAAUUUGGCGUCACUGAUCUUUCGCCGCAACGCUCUCUGAGAAAAUUCUUCCCCGAGAGAGGGAGACAGACAGAAGGGGCAAACGGUCGGAGGAGGCUCAGCUGCGAAUCUUGUAAAACUCUUUGGAAGCUCAUCAGCAUCAAAGAAAAAGCCAGGAACUUCCUUAAGAAGCAGAUCGGAGAUGGCAAAUCAAGCAGUUUCUGGUUUGAUGAUUGGACUGGGGCUAGUCCACUGAUCACCCUCACCGGAGAAAUUGGGCUGCGACUACUACGAGUUCCUCGAGAUGCGUCGAUUGCACAGGCUGCACCAGGGGGAGAUGGACUUUUUUAAGAGCUCGAUUCGAGGCCACCCAAGAGAUUCAAAUCAAGAUAGCGGCAAUUGAACCACCCAAUAACGGAGAAGGGCCAGACUUAACACUAUGGAAGCAAGCAAAUGGUGAGUUUCGAGCAUGGUUCUCCUUGGCACAAACAUGGCAACAAAUCAGAACUCAGGGAGCACAGUUGUCUGGUUUAAUGAUGUCUGGCUCACCCUGUCGACUCCUAGAUUGUCUCUACUGCUCUGGCAAGUGAAGCUACUGCUCUGGCAAGUGAAGCUACAACGUCUACCCACGACGGAUUGACUAAACCGGUGGGGAGUUCAGGUUGACAGCGUAUGUCAAUUAUGCGGAUUGCAGGAUGAGAGUCACUCUCAUUUGUUCUUCGAGUGUCCUUAUAGCUAUGCGAUCUGGAGCCAUUUCACAGGUUGUUGUGGUGACAACCCUCCAUCGGAUCUAGGCCAAGUACGGAGUUGGAGCGGAAGACAAAAUUGAGGGACAUAGCAAAACAAAGGUCUCAUCUCCAAGAUUCUCUCACACGUGACAGUGGACCUGAUAUGGAAUGAGAGGAAUGAUCGGAUAUUCAGGGAAAAAGUGACAACGAUUCGAGACGCACGGACCGGCGGAUGCGAACUCUUUUACUGUCAGUUCGGCUGGGAAGUAAAGUCCAGCACGUUCGGUUAUUUAAGGACUGGUAUUUCUUGACGAAAGGUCUUAGAUAGGAAAUGGAUUAGAAUCACCUACGAUGGAUUAUUUUGGCCACUUGCUCAUGGGAAUCCAAAUUUUUGUACA